rnacentral:lncRNA from 1 species
GGUUUUCCGGUGGCCCUCCACCGUUGGGUCAUCACCAUCCUUUGAACUCAUCCUUGCCAUCAUCGCUCGGUGGUGGGCCGGGGUUGUCAAGUCAGGUUCCAUCAUCUUUGGGUGGCAGUGCUGGGUAUGGUGCUGGGUUGGGUGGUCCUUAUGGUUCUGCCCACUAUGGAGGGCCCAAUUCAGCAGGCUAUAGCGGGUUGGGCGGAGCUGGAGGAUUGGGAGGUGCUGCUGGGGCAUUAGGAGUGGCUGGUGGUGCACUGGGCGUUGCUGGAGGUGGGUCUUCAUUGUAUAGGUUGCCACCGAGUACUGUUGGAAUGCCUUCAGGUGGGUAUCCUGAUAGUGGGCACUAUAGCCUGUCAUCUUCCUCGGCCUAUCCUAGCCAGAUCCAUCAGCCAGCAGGGACGUCUCCGGUGCCUAGGGUUCCACCAGGGGGAAUGUACCCAAGCGGCCCCCCUUACUAUUGAGGUAGUUUCUGCAUUUUUAUGUUUUCAGGUUUCAGAUUGGUUUUUAUGAUUUUGUCUGUCACUUGGGAGAAGUAGGAAUUUUGCGUGCUUUGAUGAUUAGUUUGACUGUCUUGCUAUGUUUGUGCUUGAUAUGUGAAGACCUCCCACUCUUCUGACUUUGUAAAUGUCCUAGUUGAUUAUUUCUUUUCUUUGUCUUCUCCUCUCCAUGGAUCUUGUAUGGUGAUCCUUGUGCCUUCUUUGCAUUGCUUGUCCGUGUGUCUGUGUUUCCUUUUGUGCUUGAUUUGUGUUUUUUGCCUUUGCUUUCUCUUAUUUUUAUAAUUGUUUUAUAUGGCUAGCUUUCUAAGGGACAAUUCAAGGCUUUGUUUCAAUUUUCAUUGUUGUCUUGUAAUUUAUUGUCAAAUUACUUGCUAUGCAUGUUGCUUUCUGAUGAUUUCUUCCUGUACAGGAAUGUAUGUUUUGCGGUAUUCAUCAAUUCUUGUCAUUCCUUUUGUCUCUUUCAUAUCUUUAGACAUGAAUUAAUUGAAUUUGUAAGGAUGGGUGUUUUAUACCUGAGCAGAGCAGAUAGUGAUGCGACUUUGGAGGUGUUGGUGGGUUUGUUGGGGGUUAUGAGUGCUUGAUUAAUCUGAUACAUGGCAUUCUAAUGGUUUCUUUUGGAUGACAAAAUUUGGGUUGAACACUUAGUUCUGCCUGAAAUUUGACUAGGUUAGGUGCUCAAAUAUGGUCUUACCAAAAUUUUAUCAGGUUUUUCAUUUAGUGAUAUAUAAUUUAGCUAUUAUACUGUGGUGUAUGUAUUCCAUAGUUGAGUUGUAAAUGCAGAUGACAAAGGGGAUUGGACUUUUAAUAACCUGGCUUUUCUAAACAAGUUUUAGACAAGAAUCCUUUUUGGUGAACUUGUUUGGAAAACUAUGAACUGUACAAAUUUUUUUGUUGGGUUCCUUUUUUUUUUUUGGGUAUUUUUUUCCUUCUUAAAAAAGAAAUAUGGAAUCAAAUCUGAAACCUUCCUCAUCCUCACCCUAACCCUUGGCCACCUGAGCUAGGCCUCAGGGAACCCUACAAAGAUUGUAUAUAUGGAAAACCAUUCUUUGCUGUUGCUUAGUUUGUGGUUUUAACCGGGUGUAUGGUUAUUUCAAUGUUUCAAUUGUGGGUUAGCUUGUAGUGUAGAUGUUAGGAAGUUAAAGCCAAAGUGUUAGCUGAGUGAGUUGUUAGUCAUGCGUUGUAGGAUUUAUUACUUUUAAAUGUUACAUGGGAAGGUAUUUUGUUUCUACUGCAUUGUGGGAGGACUUCUUGGUGUCUUGGUUUCCACUACUACAUUUUUUUCUCUUCUUUUCCAGAAAGCAGUAAUAUAUAUAUUUUUUUCUUUUUAAUGAUACCCUUCCAGAAAUUAGUGUUGUUUUUGGUUUGACAUUUGUGCAUAAAAAUCUUCCAUUGAUAUUGCUUCCAUUCUAGCUUGAUUAAUGGUAGGGCUGUUGUAUGGCAUCUCAGCCACCCACAGCAUGGGGAAGUUGAGUAUUGAAAAUUACUUGAAUUUGUCUUCAGAAAGAGGAAUUUGGUUUGAAGAAUUGUCUUCACAGAUGAGUUAUGUAGUGCUUUAUAUUCAUUCUAUGGGCAGCCUAGAUGUUGCCUUAAUUUGUUCUUGUUUUUUUCUGGUUGAAUACAGCAUACAACUAUCUUAAAGGAGCACAAUCUCUCCAACCUAGAUGUUGUUAGGGAGUUAAAAAUAAAUAUGGUUUGGGGCACUCUUGCAAGGUCAUAACAUGGAAUGAAUUCUAACAAGAGAAUAAUUAUAAGAGAGCGCUGGGGGCACUGUACUUGUUUUUAUAACCUCUUUAGUUUAUUUUAUUUUAUUUUGUGUCUCAUUUUGUUGUAUAUCACUUUAGCACCUGUGAGGAAGCGGUGAACACUAAAUAGAAUGUUGUGGAGAACUCACUUUAAUAAGAAUUUUCUUUGCCAAUAUUUAUGGUGAAGUUCAGAAUUAAAAUAAACACAAAUAUUGACCUUUAAGGAGCAGAAUCUUUACACAGCAAAAUGUCUUUUAAGGAGGUAAAAUCAAAAUGGUGUAUGUGGCAUUCUUACUGAUUAUGAAUGAGCUUUAACAAGAGGGAAAAUGAAGGAGGAGGGGGGGGGGGGGCAGUUGGGUUUGGCAUCCAGUAUUGAUUUUACAUCAUUAGUUUUGUUGGGGUUUCUUCUAUUUAUUACCAUUCGUUUGCAUUAAAUUAAGAAUUCUUUGCAUGGGUAUUAUUAAGCAUGGAAACUUCUUGUAGUUAGUCUCUGCUUCUUGUUAUCUAUGUUGCUUGAUCAUGUUGCAUGUUUAUGCUUUAGAUGUACUGAAUGAGUUACAAUACAUUUUCUGCGCUUUGUUAGAAUACUUAAAAUAGCCAUGAAAUAAACUUGAGGCUUUUAGAUUUAAGUUAGUAUACUGUAUAUGAGUUUCCCACAUCAAGGACUCAAUACAAAUUUACAGAACUUGAGUAAAAACAAAGGACUUGAGUUUCCCACCUCAAUAUUUUCAGAUUUGUGGCUGCCUGGGAGAAUUCCCAUAUAGAUCCUGUUCAUGGAAAUCUCUUGCUCCUGCAAUUCUCAACUCCAAGAACCUAAAGCUAGCAUCUUCUUGUUGCCUCUGGAUCCCGUUAAUAAGUGAUUGUUGUUGGGAUGUUAGUAUAUGGCUCCAGUUGUAUUUAGUGCUGUUUUAUAUGGCUGUUUUAUCUGUAGGUGCAUCUAGGUUGGAUCUUGCUUGGUUCAGAGCCUGCUUACGUAAGGAUAGAUGUAUAUUAGGUUAGGGAUCUGGAGUUAUCUAUGGUUGUUGCUGAGCUGUAUGUUUGGGCCUUUAUAGAGGUGACAUCCAGGUCCUGCUUGUUGGCUUGGCAGUUCAAAUGACCUUUUCAGUAGUACCCCCCAUACCCCCUUCCCCCUCUACUCCCACCCCACAAACAGGUGCACCAAAAAUAGGAAGGAAACUUGAUAUACAUGUCCUGUGAAUGCUAUGUAAUUUUUUUUUGCUCCACUUUGUUCUCCUUGAAUAUAUUUUUGUCAUAGGUUUCUGCUAAUCUCUGUGCGUUAAAGAAAGAAAAUUGUUAUUGGUUUGAAUUAUUUUAAUAUAAUUUGAAAUUAGAUUUAGAACUUCUAUUCAAAUUGCUAUGAUUCAAAAUCGGACUUGGAACUUUUUUUAAUAAAAGUUAUUGUUUUAAUUCUGAAUAAGAAGCUGUCCCUUUCUGACUGAGUAAUAAACAUGAAGUGGAUAGGAAUUAGGACCAUAUGUAUCUGGCUGCUUGUUUGCAUGCUGGUCUUGUUUUUAAGAUUUAAAUGUAGAAAUUAGAUUAUCAAUGCCUUGAAUUAUAUGAAAUCAUUUUGCACUUAUUGGUUGGUUGGGAAGAAAUUUAGUAUAUCAUGUAUUCAGCUGCUUCUAUAAGAAGGUGCAGUAGUUGUUUGCUUUUUUUAUAAUUUGCUUUAAGUUAGCAUGAGCUCUGUUUUGCAUGAUGAAUGUGAAAUGAUGGAUUGAAUUGUGAAUGGAUGUUUGAUUCAGGUGUUUGACAGCUUUUUGGGCGCAGAUGCUUUUAGUGGUUCUGGUGAUUGCGUGAAUGGAGACCGUAUAAAUUCUCGUUUGAUGAGUUUAUUACCUGUGCAUUAAAGGCCACUUCUUCAGUUCAU